GCAGUGUGUAAAGUUUUAUCAAUUUCCUAUUAACAAUAACUGCACCACCAUAAUUCAGAAAGGAUCACUGAUUCUAUCAUUUAUAUGAUGUUCAGAAUACAAAUUACAAUCCAACUCUUCUUCAAAAUGAACAAUGGUUGAUGAGCCCUCUAAACUAGCUGAUGUGUUGUUCUUGUACAAGCCCCUACUUCUAUCCAAAAACCCACUUCUCAUCAAGCCUGCAUAUUUUUCUCUGAUAUCAACUAGAGGAUGCUUCUGCCAGAGUUGUUGGCCAUCAUAUGCUUCUCUGAGAACAAUGGUUUGAGUGUCACACUUCUUAGAGAUGUAGAAAAUUCCAGGAUGGCGCUCAAACACUUUAGUGAACUUCUGAGGCAGGGACAAUGGUUUACGGAGAUUGCUGACGUUCUUGCGUUCAGUUCUCUUCUCUAUGGUGAGGUGGAGAAGCUCAUGAAAGACUCCAACGAUCCUCUUCUCAGACACAUCUGUCCGUGGAUCUAAAUGAGACGCAUCAGAGUAAGGUGAAGUAUAAGGGAGCCUUUGCCACUUUUCUAACCACUCCAUGCACUUCCUCUUCAACCCAAAGCCUCUCGUGAAUCCAAUUGGAAAGGCUAAGCAGCCAUUUUUCACAUCUUCUUUUUGUUGGAACGCAACAUUCUUCUGCAACUGGGAGACAGCAAGGCGAUCAUCCCAAAUUCGAAGUUUCAAGCCAACACGAUCAUCAGGAAGGCGAAUAGAAGAAAAUAAAUCAAGGUGAUGUGGAAUCAAUGCAUCAUAGUAAUCAUAAGGCAAUCCCAUAUCCCAUUUUAGCUGGUCAAUAGUUUGCAAUGGAAGAGUCCUAUCCCUUGUAAGCAUAAGCAGUUUGCAAAGCCUUCCAAUGAGAUCCAUUUGGUUCUGCUCAAGUAUAUGGAGUUCUUGUUGGUGAAUAUUCAAGGCUUCAGGUGUCAAUCCGAAGCAAGGAACACGAGUGCCUCCACUAUCAAGAAUGUGAGACUCGCAGAAAAUGGUAGGAUAUCUCUUGAUAAAUGUCGACAGCUUAAGAUUGUGAGGUAGACCAAGCUGUCCACGGUGUGGGGUGAGCUGGUAGAUAGGAAGGAAGCAUUUGGGAGCUGACAAGAUGAUUGAAACAAGAAUACAUGUAGCUCUGAGAUCCCCCUGACCAACCACAACAGCAUCCAAGGCCUUAUCUUUCACCCAUUUCAACUUGACAUUCACCAGACUGAACUUCUGUUGGUAAUUGAAGCCUCUCCGAAAUCCAUCGAGAAAACUGCUGGAGCUUCCUAAUCUUCUUAACAAAAACAGGAAAACCAUAUCCCUUUAUGAUGAUCCUGAAGAAUCAAUUUCUAUGGUCUAGCUUCAUCGUUCAGUAUUUUAUCCUAGUGGGAAUCCACCAAACUACAGCCAAUAUUGAAGUAGAAGAAAUCCAACAGUAGCAGAGCCCCUUAAAUUUCAGAAUAAUCCUUGACAACUAUUAUUCGCAAUAAAUCAAUUUGGUUGUCACAAGGCACAGUGAGGUCGCGAUACAGGAUUGAAUGAGCUAGGGUCUGCGAUUCCCAAAAUCUGAGGUCGCAAAUGAGGAUUGAGUGAGCUCGCGGUAAGGCAAGUGGCAUAGGCGCCCCGCGAGGCAGGAGAGACAAAGCUGGGGAAGAAGAGGAUUCAGAAACACGCAUGAAGGGACGCAGACAGGGAGGGGCCGAGAGGCUGAGCAGUGGGCAAUCGACUUCGAGUAAGGGUUGCUACUGCUUAGGGCCUUCUCACCGUUUUUUUGUCUACUUGGUGCCGGCUGCUGAGCAUCUGGGAG
rnacentral:misc_RNA from 1 species